AGAGUUCGAUCCUGGCUCAAGACGAACGCUGGCGGCGCGCCUAACACAUGCAAGUCGAACGGAGCUGAGAGGAGCUUGCUUUUCUUAGCUUAGUGGCGAACGGGUGAGUAACGCGUGAGUAACCUGCCCUGGAGUGGGGGACAACAGUUGGAAACGACUGCUAAUACCGCAUAAGCCCACGGUACCGCAUGGUACUGAGGGAAAAGGAUUUAUUCGCUCUAGGAUGGACUCGCGUCCAAUUAGCUAGUUGGUGAGGUAACGGCCCACCAAGGCGACGAUUGGUAGCCGGACUGAGAGGUUGAACGGCCACAUUGGGACUGAGACACGGCCCAGACUCCUACGGGAGGCAGCUGUGGGGGAUAUUGCACAAUGGGGGAAACCCUGAUGCAGCGACGCCGCGUGGAGGAAGAAGGUUUUCGGAUUGUAAACUCCUGUCGUUAGGGACGAUAAUGACGGUACCUAACAAGAAAGCACCGGUUAACUACGUGCCAGCAGCCGCGGUAAAACGUAGGGUGCAAGCGUUGUCCGGAAUUACUGGGUGUAAAGGGAGCGCAGGCGGACCGGCAAGUUGGAAGUGAAAUCCAUGGGCUCAACCCGUGAAUUGCUUUCAAAACUGCUGGCCUUGAGUAGUGCAGAGGUAGGUGGAAUUCCCGGUGUAGCGGUGGAAUGCGUAGAUAUCGGGAGGAACACCAGUGGCGAAGGCGACCUACUGGGCACCAACUGACGCUGAGGCUCGAAAGCAUGGGUAGCAAACAGGAUUAGAUACCCUGGUAGUCCAUGCCGUAAACGAGGAUUACUAGGUGUUGGGGGAUUGACCCCCUCCGUGCCGGCAGUUAACACAAUAAGUAAUCCACCUGGGGAGUACGACCGCAAGGUUGAAACUCAAAGGAAUUGACGGGGGCCCGCACAAGCAGUGGAGUAUGUGGUUUAAUUCGAAGCAACGCGAAGAACCUUACCAGGUCUUGACAUCCGAUGCAUAGUGCAGAGAUGCAUGAAGUCCUUCGGGACAUCGAGACAGGUGGUGCAUGGUUGUCGUCAGCUCGUGUCGUGAGAUGUUGGGUUAAGUCCCGCAACGAGCGCAACCCUUAUUGCCAGUUACUACGCAAGAGGACUCUGGCGAGACUGCCGUUGACAAAACGGAGGAAGGUGGGGAUGACGUCAAAUCAUCAUGCCCUUUAUGACCUGGGCUACACACGUACUACAAUGGCGUUUAACAAAGAGAAGCAAGACCGCGAGGUGGAGCAAAACUCAGAAACAACGUCUCAGUUCAGAUUGCAGGCUGCAACUCGCCUGCAUGAAGUCGGAAUUGCUAGUAAUCGCGGAUCAGCAUGCCGCGGUGAAUAAAAGGCCCCCCCUUGUACA
rnacentral:rRNA from 1 species